CCAACUUCAACCAACAAUUCCAGCAAAGCUUCGCACACUUGAGAAGCAUCUGCCUCAGAAGGAUCAUCGUUCAGUGAUGAAUACACCAUCCAGGCAUGGUCUAGCUUCCUAGCUGGUCGCACCACCACAGAUCCAGGGACCUCCGCGUCCCGACGAGUCACAAGUCCAUCACUCUUCUCACCAUACCGGACUUGGAGCAGCUGAGCGCAAGCCGCCAUUGCAGCACCAAGAGGCAUCACAACUGGGAGUUUAGUUGCCUCGCCAGAGGAUAAAGGCCCAACUAUUGGCACCUCUGCAUGAGCUACCCGAGAAAGCGUAGCCAGAACUGCUGGUGAAAUGCUGGCUUCCGUGUGGAACGAUACAACUGGAAGCUCU
rnacentral:lncRNA from 1 species